UACGAAGGGGGCUAGCGUUGCUCGGAAUCACUGGGCGUAAAGAGUGCGUAGGCGGGUCUUUAAGUCAGAGGUGAAAUCCUGGAGCUCAACUCCAGAACUGCCUUUGAUACUGAGGAUCUUGAGUAUGGGAGAGGUGAGUGGAACUGCGAGUGUAGAGGUGAAAUUCGUAGAUAUUCGCAAGAACACCAGUGGCGAAGGCGGCUCACUGGCCCGGUACUGACGCUGAGGUGCGAAAGCGUGGGGAGCAAACAGG
rnacentral:rRNA from 1 species